GGCUCGUCAUGGGGUAGCUAGC
rnacentral:miRNA from 1 species